GUGUGUGUAUAGUGUGUGUGUGUGUGUGUAGUGUGUAGUGUGUGUGUAUAGUGUGUGUGUGUGUGUGUAUAGUGUGUGUGUGUGUGUGUUGUGGGUGUGGUCGGGGUGAGAGUAGCGUCUCUCCUCAGUUGGGUUUGGGAUCAGAUCAGUUGUGUGUUUCUGGGGAAGCCAGCUGGUCUGGCUUUAUUUCUUUAUUUCUUUUAUUUGUAUCUUUUAAUCUUUUUUUAUUAUUUUUUAUUUGAGGUUUUUGUGUUUCUGACUCACAGCUGGUGCUGACGGGUCGACUGGUUCUGCUUCCUGGAGAAGAAACGGAUUAUAACGGACUGGUGCCGGAAGGAAUAAAGGCCUGGACGCCGCAAGAAAUAAAAA